AAAGAUGCGUAAAACGUUGACUGCGCAGGUUUGUGGGCAUUCCUGUCUCGUUUUCCUCGUGGAAAUUUACACAAUACUGCAAGUUAUAAUUAACUACCAAUAAUACAACUAUAUUUUAUUGAUCACGCGCCUGACGUCACAGGUCAUGGUUCGAAAACGUGUCAAAAUGUCGGCCAUGUUGGAUAAACAAAAAAUCAUCUGGCUUGUAUAAACAAAGGCCAUAAAUCAUUAUAUGGGACAUAUGUGUCACUUCUGUUUCGCUAAUCCGGUCAUAAAAAUGCGCAUCUGCUUCUACAAAUUGAAAUGUUUGUCUGACGAAUCGGAACAUUCUGGCUUCAAUUAAAAUGAGUUUGAGACAUUGAGUACGACGUCGAGAAUUCAGACCUCGGCGUCACGCACACAAGGAUACGAGAAAUGAGGAUUUUUAAAAUCAAACCCAAAUGACAAUACAUGGACAUGCAAUAAACGAUAUAAAUUUAGUAAACAAUAACAUGCAGGCCUCAUUUAGUAGUUGAAUAAUAACUUUAUUUGUUCAUUGUAGUGUUAAAUAACCGAAAGUUAUACGUACUGUGACUGUUGAUCAACUUUUUUUUUCUUCUGUAUCAUAUAUAUAAAUAUACCGUGCUUCUUUGUUGUGAACUAUUUUUUAAUUCUGUCCAUCUUUGUUUCAAUUCAGGUUGCAUUAAAUGAAUUAUAAAAAUAUGUUGUUUAUAUAAUAUUUCGUGUUAUGUUUGAUAAAUAAAAGUGUAAUAAAAAUUAAUUUUCAUCAAAUUUGA